rfam:Gossypium hirsutum cultivar TM-1 scaffold5214.1_1, whole genome shotgun sequence
UGUUAAAAAUUUCAUUCAUUUUUACUGUUGAAAAUAAAUGUGACUUGCAGUGUACCUCAUGCUGAUAUAUAGGGACCAGUUGAUAACAAUAAAAAUGGAUGGAAUUUUUAACA